rnacentral:ncRNA from 1 species
CAACCUGAGCUCAGUCGUGAUUACUCGCUGAACUUAAGCAUAUCACGUAGCGGAGGAAAAGAAGCUAACAAGGAUUCCUUCAGUAACGACGAGUGAACGGGGAGGAGCCCAGCGCUGAAUCUCUCGGUGUUACAUCGUUGAGAAAUGUAGCGUAUAGGUGUGGCUUUCAGUUUGUGCUGCAUGUCCAAAGUCCCUUUGAUAGGGGCCACAUUCCUUGAGAGGGUGCGAGAUCUGUGAGGACAGUAAAGCAAGCUGUACGGUCAUAUCUUGGAGUUGGGUUGCUUGAAAGUGCAGCCUAGAGAGGGUGAUAAACUUCAUCUAAGGCUAAAUAUAGACGAAAGCGAAUGAUUAGAGGACUUGGGGUCGAAACGAUCUCAGCUAUUCUCAAACUUUGAAUGGGUAUGUUGUCUUGGUUUCUUUGUUGAACUGCUGACACAAACGCGAGCUCCAAGUGGGCCAUUUUCGGUAAGCAGAAAUGGCGCUGUGGGAUGAACCAAACGUUGGGUUAAGGUGUCUUACUUCUCGCUCAUGAGACCCCAUAAAAGGCGUUGGCUAAUAUAGACAGCAGGACGGUGGCCGUGGAAGUCGGUACCCGCUAAGGAGUGUGUAACAACUCACCUGCCGAAUGAACUAGCCCUGAAAAUAGAUGGCGCUUGAGCGAGAGACCUAUACCCAGCCGUUGC